rnacentral:rRNA from 1 species
AAGGUGUAGAGCACCGCAGCCGUAGGGAAACCGAGUCUCAAAUGGGCGAUUUGAGUAGCAUAUAGCAGACCCGAAACCGGGUGAUCUAUCCAUGGCCAGGUUGAAGCGACGGUAAGACGUCGUGGAGGACCGAACCCACUUAGGUUGAAAACUGAGGGGAUGAGCUGUGGGUAGGGGUGAAAGGCCAAUCAAACUCCGUGAUAGCUGGUUCUCCCCGAAAUGCAUUUAGGUGCAGCGUCACGUGUUUCUUACCGGAGGUAGAGCUACUGGAUAGCCGAUGGGCCCCACCAGGUUACUGACGUUAGCCAAACUCCGAAUGCCGGUAAGUGAGAGCGUGGCAGUGAGACUGCGGGGGAUAAGCUCCGUAGUCGAGAGGGAAACAGCCCAGACCACCAGCUAAGGUCCCUAAGCGUGUGCUAAGUGGGAAAGGAUGUGGAGUUGCAUUGACAACCAGGAGGUUGGCUUAGAAGCAGCCACCCUUUAAAGAGUGCGUAAUAGCUCACUGGUCAAGUGAUUCCGCGCCGACAAUGUAGCGGGGCUCAAGCACACCACCGAAGCUGUGGCAUUGACACAUUGCCCGGCCGUGAUGUCUGAGGACUCACGGUCCAAGCGUGUUGAUGGGUAGGGGAGCGUCGUGUGGCCAGGGAAGCGGCGGAGUGAUCCAGCCGUGGAGGCCACACGAGUGAGAAUGCAGGCAUGAGUAGCGAAAGACGGGUGAGAAACCCGUCCGCCGAAUAUCCAAGGGUUCCAGGGUCAAGCUAAUCUGCCCUGGGUAAGUCGGGACCUAAGGCGAGGCCGACAGGCGUAGUCGAUGGACAUCCGGUUGAUAUUCCGGAACCGGCGAAGAACCGCCCAUACCGAACCACGUAAUGCUAAGCGCCUGAAGUGUGGCACCGUCUUCGGAUGGUUCCUCAUGGAGCGCGCGACCCUAGCGAGUAGUAGGUAAGCAAUGGAGAGACGCAGGAAGGUAGCCGAACCGCGGCGAUGGUUGUUCCGCGGGUAAGGGUGUAGGGCGAGGUGUAGGCAAAUCCGCACCUCAUGUGCCUGAGACCUGACACGGACCCGUAAGGGGAAGUCGGUGAUCCUAUGCUGCCAAGAAAAUCUUCUAGCGAGGUUCUAGCCGCCCGUACCCCAAACCGACUCAGGUGGUUAGGUAGAGAAUACCAAGGCGAUCGAGUGAAUCGUGGUUAAGGAAUUCGGCAAAAUACCCCCGUAACUUCGGGAGAAGGGGGGCCCAGAGGGUGACGGGACUUGCUCCCCGAGCCUGAACGGCCGCAGAGACCAGGGAGAAGCGACUGUUUACUAAAAACACAGGUCCGUGCCAAGUCGCAAGACGAUGUAUACGGACUGACGCCUGCCCGGUGCUGGAAGGUUAAGAGGACGGGUUAGAUCUUCGGGUCGAAGCUCAGAAUUUAAGCCCCAGUAAACGGCGGUGGUAACUAUAACCAUCCUAAGGUAGCGAAAUUCCUUGUCGGGUAAGUUCCGACCUGCACGAAUGGCGUA